rnacentral:rRNA from 1 species
GACGAACGCUGGCGGCAUGCCUAAUACAUGCAAAUCGAGCGAACAGAUGAAGUGCUUGCACUUCUGACGUUAGCGGCGAACGGGUGAGUAACACGUAAGGAAUCUACCUAUAAGCGGGGGAUAACAUUCGGAAACGGGUGCUAAUACCGCAUAAUAUCUUCUUCCGCAUGGAAGAAGAUUGAAAGACGGCUCUGCUGUCACUUAUAGAUGACCUUGCGGUGCAUUAGUUAGUUGGUGGGGUAAUAGCCUACCAAGACGAUGAUGCAUAGCCGACCUAGGAGGGUGUACGGCCACAUUGGGACUGAGACACGACCCGAACUCCUACGGGAGGCAGCAGUAGGGAAUCUUCCGCAAUGGGCGAAAGCCUGACGGAGCAAUGCCGCGUGAGUGAAGGAGGCCUUCGGGUCGUAAAACUCUGUUAUAAGAGAAGAACAAAUUGUAGAGUAACUGCUACAGUCUUGACGGUAUCUUAUCAGAAAGCCACGGCUAACUACGUGCCAGCAGCCGCAGUAA